AAAGUCGUAACAAGGUCUCCGUUGGUGAACCAGCGGAGGGAUCAUUAAAGAGUUGCAAAACUCCCAACCAUUGCUAAACAACCACUGUUUCUUCGGCGGGUGGCCGCAUAGCCGCGCGCACCCUUCUCGGGGGGGACGCACCCCGCCGGAGCACACCAAACUCUUGUCAUUAUUGAUGCUCUGAGUAAAAAACAAAAUUAUUACAACUUUCAACAAUGGAUCUCUUGGCUCUG
rnacentral:misc_RNA from 1 species